rnacentral:lncRNA from 1 species
CAUAAGCGACCAAAUGGAAGCGGCCCAAGACCGGAGCACCCUGUUUCUCUCACUAAACCGCUGUUUGAGAAAAGGAGAGAGAGUUUAGGGCAUGAGAAGGGAGUGGGGCUAGGGCAUAUAUAUAUCGGUGUGCUUGUAAUCUGAGGGUUUUGGAAUUUCCAAAGAGGGAUUGAAACCAUUAUUACACUCCAAAACCGACACCCACAUUGAGAGCCAAUUGUAAGGUAUAGCAUCCUGGUGGCUACUUCAAUUCAAACUCUCUCUCUCUCUCUCUCUCUCUCUCUCUCUCUCUUGUUU